CACGUAGGGCGCAAGCGUUGUCCGGAAUUAUUGGGCGUAAAGAGCUCGUAGGCGGUUUGUCGCGUCGAAUGUGAAAACCCGGGGCUCAACCCCGGGCCUGCAUUCGAUACGGGCAGACUAGAGUUCGGUAGGGGAGAUCGGAAUUCCUGGUGUAGCGGUGAAAUGCGCAGAUAUCAGGAGGAACACCGGUGGCGAAGGCGGAUCUCUGGGCCGAUACUGACGCUGAGGAGCGAAAGCGUGGGGAGCGAACAGG
rnacentral:rRNA from 1 species